UACGUAGGGACCAAGCGUUGUUCGGAUUUACUGGGCGUAAAGGGCGCGUAGGCGGCGUGUUAAGUCACUUGUGAAAUCUCUAAGCUUAACUUAGAACGGUCAAGUGAUACUGAUGUGCUAGAGUGCAGAAGGGGCAACCGGAAUUCUUGGUGUAGCGGUGAAAUGCGUAGAUAUCAAGAGGAACACCUGAGGUGAAGACGGGUUGCUGGGCUGACACUGACGCUGAGGCGCGAAAGCGUGGGGAGCAAACAGG
rnacentral:rRNA from 1 species